GGCCUCCUGGAGCUUACCACAGACUGUGUCCUCAUACCAACCGUAUAGACAGAGGAGGGACAAUAAACCUACCUCACAUACACCCAGCCCAGGCCCUGUGCCUGGUUUAUAUUGUGAAGGGGGGAACAUGC
rnacentral:snoRNA from 1 species